AGUGAACGCUGGCGGUAGGCCUAACACAUGCAAGUCGAACGGCAGCACAGUAAGAGCUUGCUCUUACGGGUGGCGAGUGGCGGACGGGUGAGGAAUACAUCGGAAUCUACUUUUUCGUGGGGGAUAACGUAGGGAAACUUACGCUAAUACCGCAUACGACCUACGGGUGAAAGCAGGGGAUCUUCGGACCUUGCGCGAUUGAAUGAGCCGAUGUCGGAUUAGCUAGUUGGCGGGGUAAAGGCCCACCAAGGCGACGAUCCGUAGCUGGUCUGAGAGGAUGAUCGGCCCCCCUGGAACUGAGCCACGGUCCCGACUCCUACGGGAGGCAGCAGUGGGGAAUAUUGGACAAUGGGCGCAAGCCUGAUCCAGCCAUACCGCGUGGGUGAAGAAGGCCUUCGGGUUGUAAAGCCCUUUUGUUGGGAAAGAAAAGCAGCAGGUUAAUACCCCGCUGUUCUGACGGUACCCAAAGAAUAAGCACCGGCUAACUUCGUG
rnacentral:rRNA from 1 species